GCCUGAGGUCAGAGGUGCAGAGGCCGGGUGGCUAAGAGAGCUGGUUCCAGAUGACGCCUGGCACCUGGCAGGAGGGAGGCAGCUCCCAGGGUCAGUUGCAACCAGAGUUCCCUCGGCCAUCCCUGCAGUCACAGGGCAGAAGGCAAUACCCUCCCAGGCAGGCCGAAAUGUAGCUCUCUCAGCUACCUUUCCAGCACCAUGUCUGCCGUCCACUGCCAUGCUUCCUGCCAUGAAGACAAUGGACUGAACCUCUGAACUGGAAUUGGAUUUUCUGACCCAUUAACCAAGCACAGAGUCUGGCAGAUGGAAGGCUCUCGAAGCGGAUGGAUACAAGCUAAUCCUGUGACUCCAGACAUUUUUCAUUACGAGACUUCUCCCAUAAAGCAGGGCACACAUCUUCACCUGAUAGAAA